rnacentral:rRNA from 1 species
GGGGUAAUGGCUUACCAAGGCGACGAUCGGUAGGUGGUCUGAGAGGACGAUCACCCAGACUGGGACUGAGACACGGCCCAGACUCCUACGGGAGGCAGCAGUCGGGAAUUUUGCUCAAUGGGGGAAACCCUGAAGCAGCAACGCCGCGUGAGGGAUGAAGGCCUUCGGGUUGUAAACCUCUUUUGUCAGGGACGAUGAUGACGGUACCUGGCGAAUAAGCCACGGCUAACUACGUGCCAGCAGCCGCGGUAAUACGUAGGUGGCAAGCGUUGUCCGGAUUUACUGGGCGUAAAGAGCGCGCAGGCGGUCUUGUAAGUCGAGUGUGAAAGCCCCUGGCUCAACCAGGGAGGGUCAUUCGAUACUGCUUGACUCGAAGGCAGGAGAGGGAAGUGGAAUUCCGGGUGUAGUGGUGAAAUGCGUAGAUAUCCGGAGGAACACCAGUGGCGAAGGCGACUUUCUGGCCUGUUCUUGACGCUGAGGCGCGAAAGCUAGGGGAGCAAACGGGAUUAGAUACCCCGGUAGUCCUAGCCGUAAACGAUGGACACUAGGUGUUGGUGGUAUCAACCCCGCCAGUGCCGUAGCUAAC